UACAGAGGUCCCAAGCGUUGUUCGGAUUCAUUGGGCGUAAAGGGUGCGUAGGUGGCGCCGUAAGUCGGGUGUGAAAUUUCGGAGCUUAACUCCGAAACUGCAUUCGAUACUGCGGUGCUUGAGGACUGGAGAGGAGACUGGAAUUCAUGGUGUAGCAGUGAAAUGCGUAGAGAUCAUGAGGAAGACCAGUGGCGAAGGCGGGUCUCUGGGAUGAUACUGACGCUCAUGCACGAAAGCGUGGGGAGCAAACAGG
rnacentral:rRNA from 1 species